UUGGCGGACGGGUGAGUAACGCGUGGGGAACCUGCCCUGUACAGGGGGAUAACACUUAGAAAUAGGUGCUAUACCGCAUAAGCGCACAGUAUCGCAUGAUACAGUGUGAAAAACUCCGGUGGUACAGGAUGGACCCGCGUCUGAUUAGCUGGUUGGCGGGGUAACGGCCCACCAAGGCGACGAUCAGUAGCCGGCCUGAGAGGGUGAACGGCCACAUUGGGACUGAGACACGGCCCAAACUCCUACGGAAGGCAGCAG
rnacentral:rRNA from 1 species